GAAACCAAGGCCGUAAACUCAUCGGCCAUAGCUUUGCGCCAUUUGGAGUCCUUAAGUGCUUGAGAGGCACAUGUUGGUUCCAAAGGUGAUGCAAGAGGAUACUUAGUGGUUACGGAUAAUUGUUUCGG